GAUACUUGUUUAUGAUGCGAUGGAGGGACGGAGAAGGUUAUGCCAGCCUGGCGAUGGUUGUCCAGGUGGAAGGAUGUAGUUAGACUGAGUAGGCAAAUCCGCUCGGUUAUUAAUGAGAUCUGAUAGCAAGCCAGUUUACUGGCGAAGUGGCAAAUACCCUGCUUCCAGGAAAAGCUUCUAAGCGAUAGUCAUAAACGAAUCG
rnacentral:rRNA from 1 species